UACAGAGGUCUCGAGCGUUAGGCGGAAUCACUGGGCUUAAAGCGUGUGUAGGCGGAGUUCUAAGUACCUUGUGAAAUCCCACAGCUCAACUGUGGAACUGCUUGGUAUACUGGUUCUCUUGAGCAACAUAGGGGCUACCGGAACAAAUGGUGGAGCGGUGAAAUGCGUAGAUAUCAUUUGGAACGCCAAUGGUGAAAACAGGUAGCUGGGUGUUCGCUGACGCUGAGACACGAAAGCCAGGGGAGCAAACGGG
rnacentral:rRNA from 1 species